UACGUAGGGUGCAAGCGUUGUCCGGAAUUAUUGGGCGUAAAGAGCUCGUAGGCGGUCUGUCGCGUCUGCUGUGAAAACUCAGGGCUUAACCCUGAGCUUGCAGUGGGUACGGGCAGACUAGAGUGCGGUAGGGGAGACCGGAAUUCCUGGUGUAGCGGUGAAAUGCGCAGAUAUCAGGAGGAACACCGGUGGCGAAGGCGGGUCUCUGGGCCGUAACUGACGCUGAGGAGCGAAAGCAUGGGGAGCGAACAGG
rnacentral:rRNA from 1 species